AUGCGGCUCGCUGCGGCGGCGGCGGCCCUCCGCUCCACGGCGGCGGCCCUCCUCAUCCGCUCCCGCCCACACCCCCUCCCCUCCUCUCUGCACCGGUCCUCCCUCCCCUUAGCCCGCCGCCGCCGCCACUCCUACUCUUCCACCUCCACCGCGCUCGACGACCCUCCGGCGACGACUGCGCCUCCCAAUGUUCCACCCUCCCCCGCUCUACCACCGCCUGCAGAACAGGGUGGCGGAAGAAAGGCCGUCCGCCGGCGCAUGCACAAUUCCCCCGAGGGCCUCCUCAUGCACAAGCUCGACAUCUGCUCCCGCGACGCCGACCUCCCCACCGCGCUCGCCCUCUACGACGCGGCGCUCCACCCGGCCACCGCCAUCCCGCUCUCCCUCAACCACUACAACCGCCUCCUCUACCUCUGCUCCACCGCCGCAGCCGCCGAGUCCGCCGACGCCGCCCGCCGCGGCUUCGAGAUCUUCGCCAGGAUGGAGGCCCAGGGCGUGGAGCCCAACGAGGCCACCCUCACCAGCGUCGCCCGCCUCGCCGCCGCGCGCCGGGACCCCGCCACGGCGUUCUCCCUCGUCCGCCGCGUGGCCGCCGCCGGCACCCCGCCGCGCCUCCGCACCUACGGCCCCGCCCUCUUCGCCUACUGCGACGCGGGGGAUGCCGACGGGGCCGGCGAGGUCGAGGCCCACAUGGACGCCGCGGGGGUGGUGCCCGAGGAGACCGAGCUUGCCGCGCUGCUCCGCGUCAAUGCCAACAAGGGGAAGGCCGGCGAGGUGUACAGGGUGCUGCACAGGACGCGCUCACUCGUCAGGCAGGUGUGCGAGACGACCGCCGAGGUUGUCGAGGCGUGGUUCCGGUCGGACGCUGCUGCGGCGGCGGGAGUGGAGAAGUGGGACACCGGAAAGGUCAGGGAAGGGGUGGUGAAGGGCGGCGGCGGCUGGCAUGGCCAGGGCUGGCUUGGUAAGGGACAAUGGGACGUUGGGCGGAGCGAGAUGGACAAGAACGGUAAAUGUCAGCGUUGCGGGGAGAAGCUUGUGUGCAUAGACAUCGAUCCUUCUGAGACAGAGACCUUCGCCAAGUUGCUCACCCAACUCGCAUGCAAGCGGGAGGUCAGGGAGAAUUUCCCACGGUUUCAGGAAUGGCUCCGUCGCCAUGGACCAUUCGAUGCUGUUAUCGAUGCUGCUAAUGUUGGCCUUUACAAUAACAAAACAUUCAAUUUUUCUCAGGUGAACUCUGUUGUAAAUGGCAUACAGAGAAUAACUAAAUCAAAGAAAUUGCCACUGAUUGUUUUGCAUAGGAGCCGAGUUAAUGGUGGUCCUGCAAAACUUCCACAAAAUCAGAAGCUCUUAGAGGGUUGGCGAAAUGCUGGAGCAUUAUAUCCUACUCCUCCUGGUUCCAAUGAUGAUUGGUAUUGGCUGUAUGCAGCAGUUAGUUGCCGUUCGCUGCUUGUUACAAAUGAUGAGAUGCGGGAUCACCUGUUUCAACUUCUUGGCACUAGUUUUUUCCCCAGAUGGAAAGAAAAGCACCAGGUCCGGCUAACAUACUCAGGGCGUGGUCCUACUUUUCACUUGCCACCUCCUUAUUCCAUUGUUACUCAGGAAUCUGAAACUGGAAGCUGGCAUGUACCGACGACAACCGGUGAUGACAUUGAGAAUCCACGGCAGUGGGUUUGUGCCACUAGGAAAUCUUCAGUGGUUUGUGCAACUACGAAAACUUCGGAGGAAUCAUCUGCUCGGCCGAAAGCGAGGUUAAGCGAGAUGGGCUGGUAGACUAUGCUAGGCCUCAUUGGGGGUGCGGGAGCAUAUACCACAAUUAGAAUAAACACUGAGGUUCUGGCCUUGCUGCUCUGUCUAUUCGGGAAAGUGGUCUCUGCAGGAAUGGGUCCGUCGUGCCACCAUGGACCAUUUGAUGCUGAAACCGAUGCUGCUAAUGUUGGCCUUCACCAUAGCAAAUCCUUCAGUUCUUCUCAGGUGUUGGCUGUCUGCAGCUGUUAGUUGCCAUGUUGAACGAGACAAUGCAAAAAGGUUUGCUCCACUUUCUUGGAUGUAGGAACCUGAAGCCGGAAGUGGCAUGUACGGUACCGACAGCAACCGGUGAUGAUAUCGAAAAUCCACAGCAUUCGCAUUUUGCCACUAGCAGAGCUUUGCGGGAAUUAUUAGGUGAGUUAGCAGAGUCAUCAGCAGAAGCAAAUGGUGGAUGUGUUAUGUUUUCUGUCAGAUAAGAUGAGAGACGCUCACCACACACACCAUGUCACCCUCCUGCCUAUGGAGAUUUGGGGGUUGCUUCACUAGUUUCCUUCCUCUUUUUUGCAUGAACAAAAAAGAUGUGGCCUUAGAGUUUAGUAUAUCAGGUAUCGUUUUAUACCUGAUAUCACGAAGGUUCCACACCACCACUGGUGAACGGUCCCUGCCUUGGACCGCACGUGCAUGCUUAGCUGUACUUAUGAGACUUCAGGCAUGUCUAUCACGCUCGUGGUGCCAUUAUUUGAACAAGCUGGAUCUGAGAAAACGAUGGAGCGAAUGUGACACGUUCGAGCCGGGACCUAGUUGCUAGUAUAGGCUAGGAUGGUUACUGGUUUCGUGCUCACUCGUGGGCACUUGCAGAUCCAAGGAAUAGUUUUGAUGCUUGAUGAGUUGCUGGACCGACUACGAUGCGGUACUGUUGCCACUGGCUAGCAGUGACAUUUCCUUCUCUUUUUUCUUGGAAGACAGUGACUGUUCACUUCGUCCUCUCUUCUCCUGUCGAGUAGCUUUGGUGAUAAUUCCUAACUCGGGCACCAUGAGAUGCAUGUUCCCGUCGUGGCUGCAACCACUAUGGCAUAUCCUUAAGCAUCAUCGCAUUGCAAUCUACUGUAUACCGGAAUAGAGAGAUCCUGGAUAAGAAAACUGGUAUGUCAAAUAC